rnacentral:rRNA from 1 species
UACGUAGGGUGCAAGCGUUGUCCGGAAUUAUUGGGCGUAAAGAGCUCGUAGGCGGUCUGUCACGUCGGCUGUGAAAACCCGGAGCUCAACUCCGGGCCUGCAGUCGAUACGGGCGGACUUGAGUGUUGCAGGGGAGACUGGAAUUCCUGGUGUAGCGGUGAAAUGCGCAGAUAUCAGGAGGAACACCGGUGGCGAAGGCGGGUCUCUGGGCAACUACUGACGCUGAGGAGCGAAAGCGUGGGGAGCGAACAGG